GCAAGGGGCUGUGUGUUGUUGGGGAGAGGUGCAUGGGGGGAGAGAGGUGCUUGGGGUGGGGUAGAGGUGCGUGGGAGAUGCUCGGUCCGAGUGCACACACAUGCAUGGGAACAUGUGCAUGAGUAUGUGCGUGUGUGUAUGCGUGACAGCAUGUGUGAGCGUGAGUGUGCAUGUGUGAACGUGUGCGUGAGCAUGUGCAAGUGGGCGUGCAUUUGUGAGCGUGUACGUGUGAGCGCAUCUGCGUGCCUGUGCACGAGCAGGAGGGGUGGCUGGCCUGGGUGUGAGGACCGUGCUGUCCACUGCUGGGUCUCGCCCAAGAGGCAGAGCUCAUGCUGGGAGCCACCGUGAGCCUCAGGGAGGUACUGAGUUGCCCCACAGCCGACCUGUCCCCAGGCCCAGCUGCAGGGCAGCCCUCCAGAGCCAGGGGAGCAGCAGACACCUGCCUGGCCCAGGGCUCUGCAGGGGUGGAUCCAGCCCUGGGUCACCAGGCCCAGGCACUCCCUUUGCCAUUUGCGGCCCAAGAAGUUUACCUUUAAAAAAACAAACAAACAAACAAAAAAAACAGGACGAGGUCGCCCAGAGGCCAAGCCUCCCGGCCGGGACCCCAUUCCCCAGGUGUGCUGCUGGCUUCCUCCUCCCUGGGCCAGUCCUGCCACAGAAGCCUGCGAUAGAAGAAACCAAAUCAGAGAGAACUGCAAGGGGGCCAGGCGCGGAGGCUCACGCCUGUAAUCCCAGCACUCUGGGAGGCCGAGGCAGGUGGAUGACCUUAGGAGUUUGAGACCAGCCCGGCCAACAUGGUGAAAUCCCUUCUUUACUAAAAAUACAAAAAACUUAGCCGAGCAUGCUGGUAGGCACCUGUAAUCCCAGCUACUCAGGAGCCUAAGGCAGGACGAUCACUUGAACCCGGGAGGCGGAGGUUGCAGUGACCCGAGAUUGAGCCAUUGCACUCCAGCCUGGGCAGCAAGAGUGAAACUCCGUCUCAAAAAAAAAAAAAAAGAGAGAAGAGANCCGCAAAGGGACAUUCCAAUGGCAAAAGAGAAUGAGGAGGCCACCAGGUCCUCCCUGGCAGGGGCCUGCCAAACAGAAGCCCCUGCACCUGGAGGGGCCUUGUGAUGUCACCAAAGCCAGCACCAGGAGGAGGUGUGGAGCUUGGUGACAAGGCCACUGAAUGCUGGCUGCUGGAAGCAGCUGUGCCUCCGCCCCUCGGCCAGGCCCAGCACCGGGCUGAGACACUCUAGCUGCCCAGGGCGGCACCCAUGCACCCCAAGGCCCCGAGCACUGAGGGCCCCAGCGCAGACGCACCAGGGAGGGCACUGAGGCCACGCAAACACGGCAGAGGACAAAAAGCAGCGACAGCCAGGCCGCCACAGUGACACGCAGGGUAGGUGGACAGGCACUGUUUCCUUCAUUGACCGUGCCUGGAGCCCCCCACUGCCCCUGAACAUCUGUGAAGAUGGUGCUUCGACCACCAAUCAAUUCUCUUCUGCAGGCCUCCUGAGUUCUCGGGGCAGGGACCGCACUGUUGCAGGAGCAGGCAGAGCCAGCGGAGGCCACACGUGGGCAGCCCCAGCCCCAGCCGCUCAGCCCACAGGACCCUGGGGAACGGGGGCUCUGAACUAGGGAUGGAAAGCUGCUGUCCUUCAUCUUGUACCAGUUACAAAUAUAUCAACUGUAGAAAAGGGAGACUCAGAAGGGACAGUUCACUGUGCUCUUUGAUCAAGAGUCACCACGGCCCCUCGGAGCCUGGUGGCCACAGGGGGCAUGCAGACAGGAGAGGCCGGCUCACACCGGGGUCCGGAGCAGCCCCUCGGCAAAGUCUGGGGAGCCGAGGGCUCCAUGCUGCCAGCUCGGCCAGGCUCUCAGAGUGGGGUCAGCUCGGCGGCGCUGGGAUCGGGGCUGGGGCCACCAAGUGGAGGCCAGGUGGGGCUGGUGGUGGCGAGGCCGUGGGCCGUCUCCAUGGAGGUGGGCCGUCCUGCAGGUGGGAGCAGAGGGAGGAGGGUCACACUCGGAUGCCUGGUGCCACGCCACCCGCUCCUACCGAUCUGGAACCCCAGAGGGGCUGGGCCAUCCAGCACCCCCACUCCCGCCGCCUGUGGCCACAACAGCAUUCACUCAGAUGUGAGCACACCAAGGGCCCGGGGACUCCCUAGCUGUGCCAAAUACGCUGUGUCCCUCUUGGGACAGACGAUCCCACAUCCCCGGACACCCACAGCAGAGCUGCAGCCCCGAGUCAGAGCGCGACACAGCACCGCGGUGGAUGCCCUCUGGGUCUCCUGCCCUUGCCCUGGUUCCGGUUUCCUGGGAUGUGGCCAGCCACUGUCCUGCCAAGGUUCUUACGGCUGGGUUAGGGUGGAACUCGGUCAACCCAGGGUGCAGGGGUCGGGAGCGGCCCUGGGUGAGAACAAGCCCGUGCUCAGAGUAGCCCCCGGAUGGCUACUGCAAGGCAAAGAGAGGAGCCUCCCACAGAGCCCCAAUGCCCAGACUGUGGCCUGCACGACGCCGCCGGGCGCUGUCCCCGGAUGGGUCUGGCGUCCCUGGGGCUUGGGCAAUGGUGCUGGUGCAGAGCCUGGGACGUGGCCAGCAUGGCCUCAGGGCUGCCUGACACCCAGCCACCAGCCCUGACGCAUGGCUCCCAGCAGACACGGCCCAGGCCCCACUCUCCGGUGAAGGGCGUCUAUUUUCUUCGGGGGCCGCGGCGAGAGCAGGGUUCCGAGGCUGUGAGCCCUGUUCUAGAUCACACCUGCACUCCCCAGCUCUGGAAGCUUGACCUGAAUCGUAACAUUCGCAUGGCACCUUCCACCGACGCGCAGGCCGGGGCCGUCUGAAAGGUGCUGACUGUCGUUUCAAUCUAGGGGUAUAAUGGCUCAGGACAGGGAUCAACAGAGGGACUCGCUGGGCUCAAGAAGACAGAGGUUCAUGGGAAUACAGAGUGCAGUCAAAAGAAGCGAAGUUCUCCCUGACCCGGCUCAAGUCCACCCAAGGGGAAAGUGCCUCUUAGAGCCUGAACCCCCAGCCAGGCACCUCCCAGCAGGCUGCAUGGGCCUCGGCAGACCAGAGCUGCACGCAGCAUGUGUGCCAAGACCCUUUGGGAAGGCAGAGGGUCCCCAGUCCGUCUGCCUACAUUUUGGUGGCACUCCUGGAGCUGCCUUCUCUCUCUCCCCCGUGUGUGUGUGUGUGUGUGUGUGUGUGUGUGUGUGUGUGUGUGUGUGUGUGUGUGUUUUUCUUGAGACAGGGUCUCAGGCUGGAGUGGGUGGGUGGGUGUGUGUGUAUUUUUUUUAUUGAGACAGCGUCUCAGGCUGGAGUGGGCCUUGACCUCCCCAGCUCAGGCAAUCCUCCCACCUCAGCACCCCUGAGUAGCUGGGACCACAGGCACAAGCUACCACACCCAAGCCAAUUUUUUAUUUUUUAUAGAGAGGGGGUCUAUGUUUUCCACACUGAUCUUGAAUUCCUGGGCUCAAGUGAUCUAUCCCCUUGGUCUCCCAAAGUACUGGGCUUAUAUGUGUGAACCACUGCCUGGACAGAGCCGCCUUCUGUAAAACACUCACCUAGGCCACCCUGGUAGAGGGCGCCUCUUGUGGGGGAUGGGGGAUGCCAACCUCACAGGGCCUCCUAUCUUUUAGUGCUGGUGUUCCAGAAGGUUCCAGUACUGGGAGGGACAGGUGAGUCGGCAGCAGAGGUGGGCUCAUGGCACAAAGGCAGCCCACGAGGGACUGUCUGCCAGGCCCAUGGUGAUGCCAGGCCCACGGUGGCCAUGCUGACAAGGGAAGGAGGGAGCGGGGGAGCAGGUGGCUGUGUGAGCGGACGCCCUCAGGACAGGACGCAAGAUACUCUCCCCUGGGCACCAGAGGGCCCCUCGAGGACGGACUCCCUCCAAGAGACAGGGACUGAGCUUGGGAAGACGUGAUCCAGGGGCUCUCCCAAUCGGGGCGCAUUCUUUCCCCAUGAAUUGUUGAAGCCAUGACCGGAACACGGGAGUGGACCUGCUGAGCGUCCUAACGUGUCUGCUGCAGGACCGAUGCGAACUCAUGGUGGGACCAUCCGGAACAAGGCCAGGCCCAGGUCUCUCCCCUUGGGACGCUCACCCCAUGUCUCCCUGGGGUUCCCUCCACGGUGCUGCCCUCAUCCCUCAAGCUCCUGCCUCCCGCAGUGGACAGAGGUUCUGGCGCACCUGGGCUGUGUCUGUCUCACUGCCUGGGCUGGGACUGUUCCAGGGCCCCUCAAGGCUGGAAGAAGAGCCUGACCAGCCGCCUAGUCCAGAUGGAGAGACCUCUGGCCCCGAAAGUCAGGACCCCCCAGGAGGCCACUUUCUGGGGGAAGGUGCAGCAGCCACUGGAGAGCUCUGGAUUCGGAAUCCAGGGCCCCUGGGAAGACGCGGAUGCGGACGAAGACCCAAAAACCAGAAGGAACCCCCGCCAGAGAGCAGGGGAGGGCUCCUCUCUCCAAGGACGCGCGUCAGAGCCCCCGAAGCGCGUCUGGAAGGUCACGUACCGGCUUACUCGUCUAUACCAACAGAGCAGGAGUCGGGCCCCAGGGCUGCGCGGAGAGGGGGAGAGACAGACGGAAGCUCAGUUAGCAAGCGCGCAGCAGCCGGCACAGCCACAGCAAGGGCACCAGCUUGGGGACAGGGUCGAGGCCGUCUAGAAACAAACACUCUGCUGCAACCACAGAGAACCACAAGGAGAACCACAGCUGGGAGGCAGAGCGCAGCCAGAAUUCAACGCGGAGGAGCGCACUGGCCCUGCCCCUCCCUCCCAUACCUCCCGCUGCCGCAGCCUAGGGAAGGGCGCAUGAAGGACCUAACGGGCGCAGUCCACCUCUGGUUUCAGGAGUGAAGGCCCUGGGUGGGGGGCUGAGGCUACACAGGACCGAGCUCAGGGCCAAGUCCAAGACACCAGGGCCCCCAGUGUACACCAUCUCAUGGGCCCUCCCAUCUACAGGAACAGCAGGGUUCAGUGAUGCCGCCCACCCCGCCAGGCAGCGGCUGCACCCCUAUGAGAAACCACAGGCUCUGGCGUGUGUUCAUGCCUUACGCACAGACACGGAUAGACAGUCAAGGGCUCUGUGAUGUGAAAAAGUCAGUGGAACAGAGGGGCCACCACAUGGAUUUAAAAACACACAGAAACCUGUGCUGACAAGGCUGACAGCCACGGAGAUGGCGCCACACAGCCCCCAAAGGCACAUGUGCUCUCUGUGGCUCAGAACUGAGGCCGUGCAGGCUGACCUGCUGGCAUUCAGCAGCAGCCAACUCCAAGAGUGGGGCCCAGGGCCCAGGAGUUCACCUCAGGCUGCCCCGAUGUAGACUCGGCCUCUCCUCUACCGCCUCCACAGAUGACGACUGCCUGUCCCCGUCUGUGGGCCUGAAGAAGGCCCGAGACCCUCCCCUGUGGGUGGGGCAUGAGACUCGGAGUCCUGGCCUCCUCUGUGUGGGCCUCCUCUGUAGCUGUCCCAAUCUUUCCCAGGCCUGGCCACAGAGGGGAGGCGCAGCCUCUGAGAUGCUCCCCCACAGGGCCACCCUGCAGGAUCAGGUAUCAUGUUCGUGGCUCCCAGAAGCUGAGGUCCUUCUGGCCCCUCCCCGAUCACCCCCCAAGUUUUUAAUCAGAAUGAAAUAUUUGAGAUCCUCUGAAAGACCUUACUCGAAUUCUGUGUCACUUUAAGGUAAGCUGGUCCUAAACACACCUUCUGCUGUGAGUUGUUCGGGGCAGGCCGCUGUGGUCAUCAGGGCACCAGAGGCAGUGCCUGCUCCUGCACCUGCGACCUGUCACGCCCAGCCCGUGAGCACAGGCCACUGCUCAGCCAGAGUCCGGGGGCACAAGAGCCCCUUUCCAACUAAAGCACGUCACAAACACCCAAUGUCAGGCCCCAGGUCACCAGGUGACUCAGGAGGAUUGAGCAAUGGUGGGCCCUGGGGCCAGGAAGCGGGUGAAGCCUGGCAGCCGUGAGGGAAGAGCCACACUCCCUAAGCAGUGCCUCUGGGGUCAUGUCUGAAAGCACCGUGGCUGUUUAUCCCAGUUCUAGAGCCGCAGACAGCCUCGUGGCAGGUGCUGAGACACAAGUCUGAGAGCCCCCACUUCCCUCCCGGUCUUUAGAGCUUAGGAUUCGAAACUGAGGAUCUUAUCCCAGCAGAGCAGAACACGAAGGUGCUUGGCUGAUGGGGUCUGGGGCCCGAGCCUCCGGGAAAGGUGAGAAGAGCAACCCUCUGUCCCGGCCUUGCUGCCUUGCUGCUCCCCGCUGGCGCCUGGCGCCCCCGCCGUCCUCUGUGCCUGGCCUGGGAUGUGCUGCUGCAUCAGGUGGCCUCUGUCAGGCCCGGGGCAGGGUGACCCAGAAGACACUGCCCCUGUGCUCUGUGGCCCAGGGCCCCCGCUACCCAGCACAGCAUGUGGCACCUGCUCCUGCUCUGUCUGCAGCUCUCAGGCACUGCCAGGAGCUCAUGUGGCACCCAGCAUGGGGCCUGUGGGCCCACGAUAGGACCAGGAGUGGGGGAAGAUGUGGUGAUCCCAGUGGGGCCGGAUCUGCCCUCCUGGUGUGAGCAGCAGGCAGAGGGAAAAGGACCCCAUCCUCUCACAGGCAGCCUCUCUCGCCUCUCUCACCUCCUGUGGCCAAUGUGGCCCCAGGGAGGGAAGGGGCUUUGGUGCAGGUUCCACUCCCCAGAGCCAGGCCCUGCCUGAGGCUGCUUUGUGGCCAUGGCCCUGGCGCGCAUCCUGCUUCACGGUCAAUAGCAGGGGCAUGGCUGAGAGCCAGGGAGAGAACCAGGCUCCAAUGGACAGCCUCUGCUGCUAUGCACCGACCAUCAGAGCAGGGCCCCCUCCCUGGGGACUAAGACAGGCACCCAGCCCCCCACCCCCAGACCCCCAGCCCCUUACCUGGCAGGUAGAUGUCAGCAGGUGGGCCUCGGCCACAGUGCUCGGGGCUGCUGUCCUGCAGGACAUUCUCAAUGGAAGCUGCUCGGGUCCCU
rnacentral:lncRNA from 1 species